rnacentral:rRNA from 1 species
AGCGAACGCUGGCGGCAGGCUUAACACAUGCAAGUCGAGCGGAUACUGCGGUCUUAGCGGCAGACGCGUGAGUGGCCCGGGGGAACGUACCCUUUGGUUCGGAAUAACGCUGGGGAACAAGCGCUAAUACCGGAUACGCUCCUGCGUGGAUAGGGUGGCUGCGGUAGGAUCGGCCUCGGUCCGCUUAGCUAGAUGGGGGGGUAAUGUGCUACCACGGGGACGUUGAGUAACUGGUUUGUGAGGAUGAGCAGCGACACUGGUACUGAGACACGGUCCAGACUCCUACGGGAGGCAGCAGUGGGGAAUAUUGGACAAUGGGCGCAAGCCUGAUCCAGCCAUGACGCGUGAGUGAUGAAGGCCUUAGGGUUGUAAAGCUCUUUUGUCCGGGACGAUAAUGACGGUACCGGAAGAAUAAGCCCCGGCUAACUUCGUG